GAUGAACGCUGGCGGCGUGCCUAAUACAUGCAAGUCGAGCGAACGGACGAGAAGCUUGCUUCUCUGAUGUUAGCGGCGGACGGGUGAGUAACACGUGGAUAACCUACCUAUAAGACUGGGAUAACUUCGGGAAACCGGAGCUAAUACCGGAUAAUAUUUUGAAGCGCAGGGUUCAAAAGUGAAAGACGGUCUUGCUGUCACUUAUAGAUGGAUCCGCGCUGCAUUAGCUAGUUGUUAAGGUAACGGCCUACCAAGGCAACGAUGCAUAGCCGACCUGAGAGGGUGAUCGGCCACAUUGGAACGGAGACAGGGACAAGACGCCUACGGGAGGCAGCAGAAGGGAACCUGCGGCAGUGGGCGAAAGCCUGACGGAGCAACGCGGCGUGAGUGAUGAAGGUCUUCGGAUCGUAAAGCUCUGUUAUGAGGGAAGAACAUAUGUGUAAGUAACUGUGCACAUAGUGACGGUAACUAAUAAGAAAGCAACGGCUAACUACGUG
rnacentral:rRNA from 1 species